rnacentral:rRNA from 1 species
GAUGAACGCUGGCGGCGUGCUUAACACAUGCAAGUCGAACGGAAAGGCUCCUGCUUGCAGGGGUACUCGAGUGGCGAACGGGUGAGUAACACGUGGGUGAUCUUCCCUGCACUUCGGGAUAAGCGUGGGAAACUGGGUCUAAUACCUGAUAGGACGAUGGUUUGGAGGCCAUUCUGGAAAGUUUUUCGGUGUUGGCUGAGCUCGCGGCCUAUCAGCUUGUUGGUGGGGUAAUGGCCUACCAAGGCGUGGACGGGUAGCCGGCCUGAGAGGGGGUACGGCCACAUUGGGACUGCGAUACGGCCCAGACUCCUACGGGAGGCAGCAGUGGGGAAUAUUGCACAAUGGGGGCAAGCCUGAUGCAGCGACGCCGCGUGGGGGAUGAAGGCCUUCGGGUUGUAAACUCCUUUCGCUAGGGACGAAGCGCAAGUGACGGUACCUGGAGAAGAAGCACCGGCUAACUACGUG